rnacentral:lncRNA from 1 species
AUAAUUUUCAUUCAUUACUGACUCAAGAUAGACUUCUGCUAGUAUUGUCUAUUCCGUCCGAGCUCUGUCUGGCCCAUGUAUAUGUAAAUAUCUAUAACCCCUUACGCCUAGCGAUGUACGUAAAUUUAUAUUAUUCUUUUCAAUAUUUAUUUACCGUAAAUUUUGAGAUAAGUUCAGGGGCAUACAGCGCACUCAGAUUUAAAUAAGUUAGUCAAACAAUCGUUUAGUCAACCAACCAAGUAGAAUCCCAAUUCUCGAUAACUGCCAGACAAUUUCAGAAUCACUAGGAAGCAAGUACUCUGAUGCGCAGUUCAGCAAAACUUAGCUAUAUAAUCACAAUCAC